rnacentral:rRNA from 1 species
CCUACGGGAGGCAGCAGUGGGGAAUAUUGGGCAAUGGAGGCAACUCUGACCCAGCCACGCCGCGUGAAUGAUGACGGUCUUCGGAUUGUAAAGUUGUGUGAUGGGGGAGGAACACAAUGACGGUACCCCAAUAGCAAGCCACGGCUAACUACGUGCCAGCAGCCGCGGUCAUACGUAGGUGGCAAGCGUUAUCCGGAAUCACUGGGCGUAAAGGGUGCGUAGGUGGUUUAAUAAGUUGGCGGUGAAAUUCCGGGGCUCAACCCCGGCGCUACCGCCAAUACUAUUAGUCUAGAGUGCAGGAGGGGUAAGUGGAAUGCAUAGUGUAGCGGUGGAAUGCUUAGAGAUUA